GGGGAAAGGGAAACCCGGAGCACGGACCCCGCCCCUUCGCGGCUCCACGCUUGACGUCGCUGGGGGCGCCGGCCUCCGCCCGGCUCGAAGCGGCUCUCCGUGGAGGCCCAGACCCCUCUGCUCCUCAUGGGCAACUGCCAGGCAGGGCACAACCUGCAUCUCUGUCUGGCCCACCACCCACCUCUGGUCUGUGCCACCUUGAUCCUGCUGCUGCUUGGCCUCUCUGGCCUGGGCCUUGGCAGCUUCCUCCUCACACACAGGACUGGCCUGCGCAGCCCUGACAUCCCUCAGGACUGGGUCUCCUUUUUGAGAUCUUUUGGUCAGCUGUCCCUGUGCCCUGUGAAUGGGACAGUCACAGGGAAAUGGCAAGGGUCUCACAUCGUGGGUUUACUGACCACUUUGCACUUUGGAGAUGGUCCAGACAGGAACAAGACCCAGACAUUCCAAACCAAGAUCCUGGGUAGUCAGAUUGGACUGAAAGGACCUUCUGCAGAACAGCAGAUCCUUAUCACAGCCAGAGUGACCACAGAAAGGACCCCAGGCAUCUGCCUGUAUUUUAGUGCUGUUCCAGGAAUCUUGCCCUCCAGCCAGCCACCCAUAUCCUGCUCAGAGGAAGGAGCAGGAAAUGCUACCCUAAGCCCUAGGAUGGGUGAGGAGUGUGUCAGGGUCUGGAGUCGUGAAGACCUUGUGCUCACCAAGCUGCUCACCUCGGAGGAGCUAGCUCUGUGUGGCUCCAGACUGCUGGUCUUAGGCUCCUUUCUGCUAUUCUUCUGUGGCCUUCUCUGCUGUGGCACUGCUAUGUGUUUCCACCCACGUCGGGAGUCCCACUGGUCCAGAACCCGACUCUGAGGGCACUGGCCUACUUCUUGCCUUGUUCUCAGUCAUCGCUGCAUUUAGGAAAAGUUGAUUCAGCUAACAAGAUCUUUGGAGAGAAUCAGCUUCAUAAAGGUUUAAAUCAACUUCUUGGGUCUUGUUGGAAGAGAUGUUACAGUGAAGAGCUGGAAUGAGGGAGAAAUAAACGGCUAUUUUGCCCCGUGUUGCCUAAGGUGUUUAUUGGGGAUUAAAUCAAGGUGGGCAUUUUAGGGUAGACAAGCUUGGGAGGUUGGGGGGACUGUUCUUUGUUGAGUCUGGUUUGGCAUAGGGGAUAGGUUACUUCAGUGCUCACCAUGGUUAACUUGACUUUGGAAAACACUUGUGCCACACUGUGUUUUGUUUUCUUUUAUAAAAUAAAAGUGAUAAUUCCAGCUAGUUGA